rnacentral:rRNA from 1 species
GUGACUGCGUACCUUUUGUAUAAUGGGUCAGCGACUUAUAUUUAGUAGCAAGGUUAACCGAAUAGGGGAGCCGUAGCGAAAGCGAGUGUUAACUGCGCGUUUAGUUGCUAGGUAUAGACCCGAAACCGAGUGAUCUAGCCAUGGGCAGGUUGAAGGUUGAGUAACAUCAACUGGAGGACCGAACCGACUAACUUUGAAAAGUUAGCGGAUGACUUGUGGCUGGGGGUGAAAGGCCAAUCAAACCGGGAGAUAGCUGGUUCUCCCCGAAAGCUAUUUAGGUAGCGCCUCGGACGAAUACCACAGGGGGUAGAGCACUGUUUCGGCUAGGGGGUCAUCCCGACUUACCAACCC